GCUUUGUGGUUCAACUGAUUUGAAGAGCUUGCUCAGAUAUGACGAUGGACAUUGCAAAGAGUGGCGAACGGGUGAGUAACACGUGGGAAACCUACCUCUUAGCAGGGGAUAACAUUUGGAAACAGAUGCUAAUACCGUAUAACAAUAGCAACCGCAUGGUUGCUACUUAAAAGAUGGUUCUGCUAUCACUAAGAGAUGGUCCCGCGGU
rnacentral:rRNA from 1 species